UGCCUCAGUUGACUGGCCUAUUCCCCUCUGCGGUAGCCACACCCUCUGGUGUCUCACCUCGUCAGGCUGCUCGGCCUUGGACCAAAGACUUCAGCUUUUACGAAGAAUAUAAGCUGCGCAGAAACGAACUGCGGCGCCGAAACCUCAACAGACGCAGGGAGCUGGAGAAAACGUUGCCUCAGCCUCUGCUGGCAGAUCUGGUGCGCGAGCGUCGAGAGAAGACCAGACUGAGAGUAGCUAGAUGGAGGGCAAAGAGGAAACUCCAGGCCUGCCUAACCCAGAGUCAGGUUCCUCCUCCAGCCACCGGCGGUGAGACACCUCAGCGAAUCUUCAGCCCAACAGCUUCUUCAGCAACAGCCCCGCCGGCCUCCCCCUUGUACCCUCCUCCCCCUCCCCCCCCUUGCUCCUGCGUGGGUCCAACAUGGCUUCACAUGACCACACUGUGACAUCAUCUUCAUCCUACCAGGUCACCACGGAGCGUCUCACUGACAGACGUACAAACGUUGCAGUGAACUUCACAUGAACACACUCAUGAAGAUCAAAGCAUUCAAAAAUAAAAGUCACAUUUAAAAUAAAACAU